rnacentral:rRNA from 1 species
UACGAAGGGGGCUAGCGUUGCUCGGAAUUACUGGGCUUAAAGGGUGCGUAGGCGGCGCGGAAAGUGGGGUGUGAAAGCCCUCGGCUCAACCGAGGAAUUGCGCUCCAAACUACCGUGCUUGAGUGAGACAGAGGUAAGCGGAACUUCGGGUGGAGCGGUGAAAUGCGUUGAUAUCCGAAGGAACACCGGUGGCGAAAGCGGCUUACUGGGUCUCAACUGACGCUGAUGCACGAAAGCCAGGGUAGCAAACGGG